rnacentral:tRNA from 1 species
AAAAUUUAGUUAACAAAUAACAUUAGUUCGUCAAACUAAAAUCAUUAAUAAUAAUAAUUUUUG